GACAGAGGCCCCGAGCGUUAGGCGGAAUCACUGGGCUUAAAGGGAGCGUAGGCGGAUAGGUAAGUCAGUGGUGAAAUCCCAUCGCUUAACGAUGGAACUGCCAUUGAUACUGCUUAUCUAGAGUACAGUUGCCGUUGGCGGAAUAUGACAUGUAGUGGUGAAAUACUUAGAUAUGUCAUAGAACACCGAUUGCGAAGGCAGCUAACGAAGCUGUAACUGACGCUGAGGCUCGAAAGUGCGGGGAUCAAACAGG
rnacentral:rRNA from 1 species